rnacentral:rRNA from 1 species
AGUUCGAUCAUGGCUCAAGAUUGAACGCUGGCGGGAUGUACUUUACACAUGCAAAAUCGAACGGCAGCACGGACUUCGGUCUGGUGGCGAGUGGCGAACAGGUGAGUAAUGUAUCCGGAACGUGCCUAGUAGCAGAGUCGCCGCGGCGCAGCUAAUGCCGCAUACGCCCUUCAGGGGAAAGCGGGGGACCUUCGGGCCUCGCACUAUUAGAGCGGCCGAUAUCGGAUUAGCUGGUUAAUUGAGGUAACAGCUCGCAAGGCGACGAUCCGUAGCUGGUUUGAGAGGACGACCAGCCACACUGGGACUGAGACCUGGCCCCAGACUCCUACGGGAGGCAGCAGUGGGGGAAUUUUGGACAAUGGGGGAAACCUGAUCCAGCCAUCCGUGUGAUGAAGGCCUUCGGGUUGUAAGCACUUUUGGCGAGGAAAACGGCACGGGAUAAUACCCCGUGCAGCGUACCUGCAGAAUAAGCUGCCAGCUAACGUACCAGCGGCCGCGGUAAUACGUAAGGUGCAAGCGUUAAUCGGAAUUACUGGGCGUAAAGCGUGCGCAGGCGGUUCGGAAAGAAGAUGUGAAAUCCCCAGAGCUUAACUGGAACUGCGUUUUAACUACCGAAGGCUAGGAGGUGUGUCAGAGGUGGAAUUCCGCGUGUAGCAGUGAAAUGCGUAGAUAUGCCGGAGGAGGAACACCGAUGGCGAAGGCAACCUCCUGGGAUAACACUGACGCUCAUGCACGAAAACGUGGGAGCAAGCAGGAUUGAAUACCCUGGUAGUCCACGCCUAAACGAUGUCAACUAGCUGUUGGGGCCUUCGGGCCUUGGUAGCGCAACUAACGCGUGAAGUUGACCGCCUGGGGAGUACGGUCGCAGAAUUAAAACUCAAGGAAUUGACGGGGACCCGCACAAGCGGUGGAUGAUGUGGAUUAAUUCGAUACAGCUUUGCGAAAAACCUUACCUACCCUUGACAUGUCUGGAAUCCCGAAGAGAUUUGGGAGUGUUCGCAAGAGAACCGGAACACAGGUGCUGCAUGGCUUAUCGUCAGCUCGUGUCAUUGAGAUGUUGAGUUAAGUCCCGCAGGCGCAGCCCUUGUCAUUGAAUUUGCUACGAAAGACUUUCGUGAGACUGCCGGUAUUGGCAAACCGGAGGAAGGAGUGAGAUGUUGACGUCAAGUCCUCAUGGCCCUUAUGGGUAGAGCUUCCCCGCACAAUCUGUGGUCACUGGGACGACAGAGGGUCGCCAGCCGCGAGGGGAGCCGUCCCAGAAACCCGAUCGUAGUCCGGAUCACCGGUCUACCCCGCAGCUCGACUGCGCACAUUGGGAAUAUGGAAUCGCUGGUAAUCGCGGAUCAGCAUGUCGCGGUGAAUACGUUCCGGAUCACCUGCACACCGCCCGUCACACCAUGGGAGUGGGUUUUACCAAGUAGUUAGCCUAACCGUAAGGAGGGCGAUUACAGUAGGAUUCAUGACUGGGGUGAAGUCGUAACAAGGUAACUC